UACACGUGAAGCCCCCUCUCUUUUUACCCUCUGGCAACCCACCCUCUCUCUCUCUCUCCUUUCUCUCUCUCUCUCUCUCUCUGGUUCCCCCACCAGAUCCAGAUCUUUUUCUUUUUUUUUUUUACUUUUUCUCCCUCCAUCUCUCUUUCUCUUUCCCUUUCAUCCCGGACGCCCCCUCCGCGCCGCCUUCCGGGCCGCGGCGCUACAGGAUCGCUCCCGGACGCGCCCCUUCGCGUCGACGCCUUCUGGCCCGCGUGCUAUAGGAUCGCUCCCGGACGCGCCGCGCUCCCUCGGCCCCGUGAGCUACUCGGAUCGAUCCCGGGCAACGAUCUGAGGAUUUAGUUCUCCAACUGCGGCGGUUCCCGCACCUCCGACCCCUGACGGCGCCGUUCUCGUGAAGAUCUCGAAGCUUUCUGGAGUAGUUCCACCUCCUUUAUGCAGAAAUGCCCAAAUGUACUUGAAUGCUAUGGGUGGCGAAGUCACUACCAGGUUGAAUGUAAAUGCAGCAAACCAAGUACCUAGAAGAAUGUAAUGUCCUCGUAUUUGCAGAGUUAAUGAAGUCUGUACAUUUACUAAUAUGGCUGAACAUUCUUGUGCUUAUUGUUUUGGAUAUGUAUAACAAUUCUAGAUCACCGUUUUCUUUGCUUUCAUUUUGUUA